rnacentral:rRNA from 1 species
AAGUGUUAGUUCAGGCAACGAAACUGCGAACAGCUCAUUAAUACGCUCAGAACCUAUUCGGUUUCGGCCCAUUAGGGUCCUAUAUGGAUAGCAGCAGAAAUUCUGGUGCUAAUACAUGCGGUUUAAACCAGCUUAAAUGAAUCAAGCUGAGGACGUGACCGACUGGCGCACCGUUCGGUUGAGCGCUCUAUCAGCUUGUACGUAGUGUCUUUUACUAUGUAGGCUAUCACGGAUACCGGGUGGUUAUCGUCAGACUGCCGGAGAGGGUGCCUGAGAGACAGCAGCCAUCACCAUGGUGAGCAGCAGGCGCGAAACUUACCCACUCGCCAACGGCGGAGGUGGUAAUGGCCAGUUCCAUCGCGUCGCAAGACCGGCGGAUAGGCUCACACUUUUCCAGUGUGGGGUAACCUAGGAGAGGGCCAGUUCUGGUGCCAGCAGCUGCGGUAAUUCCAGCUCUCCGAGUUUGCUCCCAAUGCUACACUUAAAACGCCCGUAGUCUGAAUCCGAAGCUCGCAUAGAGCGUUCACCGUGAAUAAAUCAGGAUGCUUAGAGUAGUUCAUAACUGAAUGACUCAGCGCGGUAUGAGUUCUUUACCCUGUAGGGGUCAGAUCAAAGAGAGCCAGGGGGGGUAGGUCUAUUUCAUGGCGAGCGGCGGAAUGUGUUGACCCAUGAGAGAGAAACGAGUGCGAAAGCACCUGCCUAGAAGGUUUCUAUCGAUCAAGGGCGAGAGUCGCAGGAUCCAACCGGAUUAGGGACCCGGGUAGUUGCGACCUUAAACUAUGCCGACGGGGCCUCGUCAGCAAUGGCAGGGUCCUAAGCGAAAGCCUGAGUCGUUGGGCUGUGGGGGAACUACGAUCGCAGGGUUGAAACUUGAAGGAAUUGACGGAAGGGCACACCAGGGGUGGAUACUGUGGCUCAAUCUGACUCAACGCGGAGAAACUUACCAGGACCAGAUAUUUUUAAUGACUGACCAGCUAAAGACUGUUCAGGAUAUGAUUUUUGGUGGUGCAUGGCCGUUGGUGGUGCGUGGAUUGAUCUGUCAUGCGUCGAUUCAGAUAACGAGCGAGACUACCGCCGCUUAUCUAGGCCUCACCUCUUGGGAGGACGAAGUCUUCUAAGCGGGGCUCCCUGUGUUGAAACAGGCGGAAGAGGGUAGCAAUAACAGGUCCGUGAUGUCCUUUAGAUGCUCUGGGCUGCACGCGUUCUACAAUGCUAGAGUCACUGGGAUGCCAACCCGAGAGGGUUUGCUACUCCUUUAAUCUCUAGCGUAGUUGGGAUUGACGGUUGUAAUCACUGUCAUGAACCAGGAAUCCCUUGUAAGCGUGUAUCAACAUUGCACGCUGAAUACGUCCCUGCCCUUUGUACACACCGCCCGUCGCUCCUACCGAUUGGAUGGAUCGGUGAAAUUGUUGGACGCCUUUUGGCGGAAGGCAAUUAAACCUGUCGAUUUA